CGCAUCCUCACUCGUCUCCCCUGCGCGCCGGAGCCCUCCCUCUCGGCUCCCCCUGCGCUGGAGCUCCCCUGCUCGGCUCCCCUGCGCGUCGCCGGAGCUGCCUCGGCCCACAUCUCCACCGCGUUGCUUCCCUCUCCUUGUUCCCUUGCUCGUUCCCCAUGGUGAACCAUGGGAAGGAGAAGGCUCGAUUUUUGUUCUCGAUCUGCUCUCCGACGGCGGCGGCCUUCCCCGAGCUUGGCGAGCUGGAGCUGUCCCUUCCCGUCGCCGAUCUGCUCUCCGCGACGCCGCCUGCCUCCCCGGACCAUCCCCUCUCGCUCAGCCGCGACUCCCUCCCUGGAGCAGCCGCUCCCGCCCAACCCAAAGCCGCCGGCCGGAGCUACGCCGCAGCACGCUCCCUCCCUCCUCUUCUUGGGGACCGGAUUGUGGCCGAGGAGGAUCUUGCCCUUGUCGCCCAGCAGCUCCCGCUCCAACGGGCUCGUCCACAAAUCCGGCAGCACCAGCCGCUCUUCCCUCUUCCGGUCUAGCCCAUCGACGACGAUGGCUCCUCCUCAUGCUCAUCGGACUCGUGCACAAGUGCUCUGCAAGUCUGCAUUGGCAGGGUAAUUACUUUUCUUACCGGUGCUCUUGAUUAUGAAGAUGGUCAACUAGACACUAAGAGAUAUGGUGAGCAAUAUGCUAGCAAAGGGGAAGAUGUUGACCUCAUGUUGCUCCCUGAGCAGAUACCUUCCUAUAGAGAUCCGGUUCACAGCAAAAAACUGGUGUUGAAUUCGCCGCCGGCUCCGAGACCUCGACCGGACGGACGGAACGCGGAUUGAAAUCGUUGCUAUGGCGCCGUAUAUUAUAUGCAGUCCCACGUUUUCCUCUUCCUUUAUUUAGCUCUGGCGGCAGCACGGGCAGACGAGCAGCAGCAGUACGGGUAGACGAGCAGCAGCAGUACGGGUAGAUGAGCAGCAGCUGUAUAGGCAAAGGAGCUCCACCG